ACAUACGACCAUAGACUCAAGAGAAUUGGGCAUCCCGUCCGCGAGAAUUGGGCAUCCAAGAGAAUUGGGCAUCCCGUCCGCUCUGCCAUACACAAGCUUGAGAUCGGUGGAUUAGUAGUUGGGUGGGUGACCACCAGCGAAUACCCACUGUUGUAUGUU
rnacentral:rRNA from 1 species